UUCAAAACAAAAAUAUAGGCCGGGUGUGGUGGCUCCUGGCUAAAGAUAUUCUUUGGUGAACUCAUCCAGUCCAAUGGCUUGCUAAUAAUUCCAAAAAACAUUGUGAGCCUCACCAUCUCCCUUGAGUUUGAUUUUUUUUAAUGUAAAGAUUACUUACUCUAUAUCCUUACUUGGAGGUCAAAUAGGCAUCUCAAGCUUAACACUGCCAAAACAACACUCUUGAUUUGCCCCCUACAAUCCUGCUGCUUCAGAUCUGUUCCAUCACAUUUGAUGAGACUGUCAUCUAUCCAAUUGCUCAAGACAAAAACUUAGGAGUCUUUUUUUUUUUUUUUCAGAGUCUCGCUCUGUCACCUAGACUGGAGUGCUGUGGUGCAAUCAUGACUCACUGCAACCUCCGCCUCCUGGGUUCAAGCAAUUCUUGUGCCUCAGCCUCCCGAGUAGCUGGGACUAAUGGCACGCGCCACCACGCCCAGCUGAUUUUUUAUUUUUAGUAGAGACGGGGUUUCGCCAUGUUGGCCAGGCUGGCCUCAAACUCCUGACCUCAAGUGAUUCACCCACCUUGGCCUCCCUCCCAAAGUGCUGGGAUUACAGGCGUCAACCACCGCAUCUAGCCUUGUUAGCAAUCAUCUUGAUUCUUCUCUCUCCUUCACACCUCAUAGCAAAUCCUAUUAAUGCUACUUUCAAAAUACAUCUCAUAUUCAACCACUUCCAACCACUGAUAUACCACCUAGUCCAAGCCACCACAAUCUUUUUAGGAAAGUACUUCUAUAGUCUUCUAAAUGACCUCCAUGCAUCUGUGUUACCGUGUCCCAUUAGCCAUUCUCCAACCAGCAGCUAGAGGGAGCUUUAGAAAAUAAUAAAUCAUACCACAUCACUCCUGUGCUUAAAAUUACCCAAUAGUUACCCUUCAAUUUUAUAAUAAAGAUCACAAAUUCAGUUUUAGGCUUGCUGAGCUUCAGAAAUAUGAAGCAUGUAAUUGUAGAUAUGGAGAAAGCAAGGAAAUGGCCCUCAAAAGAGAUUUGGGCUGAAAUUACAAAGUGGCAUAACUUAUUGGCAUAUGGAUAGAUAUUGAAAAUCACAGAUUUGGAAGAGAACACCUCAAGUAAGUUGAAAAGAGAAGGGUGGGGACACAGAACCAAGAAUUGAGAACUCUCAUACAUAAAGUCCUGGUAGAAGGGAAAGAGUUGACAAAGACGACUAAGGAUGAGGCCAGACACAUAAGAAAACGAGACCUGACACC
rnacentral:lncRNA from 1 species